rfam:Herbinix sp. SD1D isolate SD1D genome assembly, chromosome: I
CGAGGUGUGGCUCAGUUUGGCUAGAGCGCUACGUUAGGGACGUAGAGGCCGCAGGUUCAAAUCCUGUCACCUCGA